AAGGGAGACCUAAUCCAGGUAGGAGACGAAAAAAAAGUAGUCCCAACCAAGAAUCAAUCCCAAAAGGUCGGAGCGAGGCGAAAUUGGCUUUCAAACUAGGUUCUGGGUUCACACAAGACCUGAAUCAGGAACAAGGGCUAUUAGCUCAGGUGGUUAGAGCGCACCCCUGAUAAGGGUGAGGUCCCUGGUUCGAGUCCAGGAUGGCCCACCUGCACAGGUGGCAAAAACAAGAGAAGCGAGGAAUCAGCACCUUAUCUUAUCUAUAUAUAUAUAGGAGAGAAUGCUGGCUCUGAGUAAAGAGUCCAGAGGAACCUUGAAAACUGCAUAGAGCUAGGUGAAAAAGCCAAAAAAGAAGACCGCAA
rnacentral:tRNA from 1 species